rnacentral:rRNA from 1 species
CCUACGGGGGGCUGCAGUGGGGAAUAUUGGACAAUGGGCGAAAGCCUGAUCCAGCAAUACCGCGUGUGUGAAGAAGGCCUGAGGGUUGUAAAGCACUUUUAAUCGGGAGGAACACCUGUCAGCUAAUACCUGGCAGUAUGACAUUACCGAUAGAAAAAGCACCGGCUAACUCCGUGCCAGCAGCCGCGGUAAUACGGAGGGUGCAAGCGUUAAUCGGAAUUACUGGGCGUAAAGCGUGCGUAGGCGGUUAUUUAAGUCAGAUGUGAAAGCCCCGGGCUUAACCUGGGAACUGCAUUUGAUACUGGGUAACUAGAGUUGAGUAGAGGAGAGGGGAAUUUCAGGUGUAGCGGUGAAAUGCGUAGAGAUCUGAAGGAACACCAGUGGCGAAGGCGCCUCUCUGGACUCAAACUGACGCUGAGGUACGAAAGCGUGGGUAGCAAACAGGAUUAGAUACCCUAGUAGUC